rnacentral:misc_RNA from 1 species
GAAACGCGAUAGGUAAUGUGAAUUGCAGAAUUCCGUGAAUCAUCGAAUCUUUGAACGCACAUUGCGCCUUCUGGCAUUCCGGUAGGCAUAUCUGUUUGAGCGUCAGCAAAACCUCUCAGCAUUCAUUUGUUGGUACUGGGCUAGGGAGGAAGUGCUUUCGGGCACCUCCCGCCUUAAACUUGCUGCACGACCGCAAGCCGAUGGUUAGGUUCAUGAAGUGGUAUUUACAUAUAUUUCAUAGCCUGCCCAUGGUGACCGGCGUUAAAACCUGAUGUUGCUUGCGCAACUGAAGUUUGACCUCAAAUCAGAUAAGGAUACCCGCUGAACUUAA